rnacentral:sRNA from 1 species
UGAGCGCGCUUCGGCGCUGCCUUAUUCACCCACCCUUUGUCUACGUGUACCUCUAUAGCUUCCUCGGCGGGCUCGCCCGCCGCCAGGAACCCACAAAACCCCUUGCAUUAUACACGAAAACUUCUGAUAACAAACCUAAAUUAUCACAACUUUCAACAAUGGAUCUCUUGGUUCUGGCAUCGAUGAAGAACGCAGCGAAAUGCGAUAAGUAGUGUGAAUUGCAGAAUUCAGUGAAUCAUCGAAUCUUUGAACGCACAUUGCGGCCAUAGGUAUUCCUUUGGCCAUGCCUGUUCGAGCGUCAUUUACACCCUCAAGCCUAGCUUGGUGUUGGGCGUCUGUCCCGCCGUUUUCGCGCGCGGACUCGCCUCAAAGUCAUUGGCGGCGGUCGUGCCGGCCCCUCGCGCAGCACAUUUGCGCUUCUCGGAGGCCCGGCGGAUCCGCGCUCCAGCAAAGACCUUUCAUGACCGGCGAGUGAAGCGGCAACAGCUCAAAUUUGAAAUCUGGCCCCUUCGGGGUCCGAGUUGUAAUUUGCAGAGGGUGCUUUGGCGUUGGCGGCGGUCUAAGUUCCUUGGAACAGGACAUCGCAGAGGGUGAGAAUCCCGUAUGUGGUCGCCUGCCUUCGCCGUGUAAAGCCCCUUCGACGAGUCGAGUUGUUUGGGAAUGCAGCUCUAAAUGGGAGGUAAAUUUCUUCUAAAGCUAAAUACCGGCCAGAGACCGAUAGCGCACAAGUAGAGUGAUCGAAAGAUGAAAAGCACUUUGGAAAGAGAGUCAAACAGCACGUGAAAUUGUUGAAAGGGAAGCGCUUGCAGCCAGACUUGCCUGUAGUUGCUCACCCGGGCUCCUGCCCGGGGCACUCUUCUGCAGGCAGGCCAGCAUCAGUUUGGGCGGUUGGAUAAAGGGCUCUGACACGUACUUCCCCUCGGGGUUGACAUACAGGGGAGCCGCAAUGCGACCAGCCCGGACUGAGGUCCGCGCAUCUGCUAGGAUGCUGGCGUAAUGGCUGUAAGCGGCCCGUCUUGAAACACGGACCAAGGAGUCUAACAUCUAUGCGAGUGUUUGGGUGUCAAGCCCGAGCGCGUAAUGAAAGUGAACGGAGGUGGGAACCCCUCGGGGUGCACCAUCGACCGAUCCUGAUGUCUUCGGAUGGAUUUG